UUCUUCAGGGGUGGGUGCAAUUCCCUACUGGCGGUGAUCAUAAGUCCGCGACCUGUAUCGCAAGAUACGGCUGAACCGGUGAAAAUCCGGUACCAACAGUAAAGUCUGGAUGGAAGAAGAG
rnacentral:ncRNA from 1 species